GACGAACGCUGGCGGCGUGCUUAACACAUGCAAGUCGAACGGAAAGGCACUGCUUUUGUGGGGUGCUCGAGUGGCGAACGGGUGCGUAACACGUGAGUAACCUGCCCUUGACUUUGGGAGAACUUCAGGAAACUGGGGCUAAUACCGGAUAGGAGACCCUGCUGCAGGGUGGGGGUUGGAAAGUUUCGGCGGUUGGGGAUGGACUGGCGGCUUAUCAGCUUGUUGGUGGGGUAGUGGCUUCCCAAGGGUGUGACGGGUAGCCGGCCGGAGAGGGUGACCGGCGACAUUGGGACUGAGAUACGGCCCAGACUCCUACGGUAGGCAGCAGUGGGGAAUAUUGCACAAUGGGCGGAAGCCUGAUGCAGCAGCGCCGCGUGCGGGAUGACGGUCUUCGGGUUGUAAACCGCUUCCGCCUGUGACCAAGCGUGAGUGACGGUAAUGGGUAAAGAAGCACCGGCUAACUACGUG
rnacentral:rRNA from 1 species